UACGUAGGUGGCAAGCGUUGUCCGGAAUUAUUGGGCGUAAAGCGCGCGCAGGCGGUCCUUUAAGUCUGAUGUGAAAUCUUGCGGCUCAACCGCAAGCGGUCAUUGGAAACUGGGGGACUUGAGUACAGAAGAGGAAAGCGGAAUUCCACGUGUAGCGGUGAAAUGCGUAGAGAUGUGGAGGAACACCAGUGGCGAAGGCGGCUUUCUGGUCUGUAACUGACGCUGAGGCGCGAAAGCGUGGGGAGCAAACAGG
rnacentral:rRNA from 1 species